AAGAUAUUGCCAUGUAGUUCUGUUGAAAGUUAGGUCCUGGAAAGUCCUCAACUUUGUCCUAAGAAGAACUUGUUGUUAGAAGCCAAGCACACUUUUCAGAAUGUUUCUGCAGUUUGCGCUGCAGUUUUCAUUCAAACAUUCUUCUAGUGCCAGCUCUCCCAUGCAAGUCAAAGGUAGGUUAUGAUGUAAAGUGGAGUUCCUUCUCAGAGAAAGCAGCUAGAUCUCUGUCACUGUGUCAGAACACUCCACUCUGUGAAUUCCAUGGAAUAAUAUUCACGUCACAAUCUGGCUCUCUGGAUUGCCAAAUUCUGUAGCAUAUCUCUAUGAGGGCUGGGGCUUCCACAGCUCGUGACAGGAACAGCCAGGGAUGGUCUACCCAAGACUCCUGUUCCCCAUUUUCCAAGAGCCCUUUCUGGCAUCAUAAGGGAAUUUUCCCACCGGGAGUCUACUAAAUAUCGUCUAAUCCAAUCCCAAAUCCAUGGAAAAGAAGACAAUGAGCAAAUCUCUCAGGCCUGAAUUCUUAUUUCUCUAGAACUUCAUCCUCUCUCUCUGGUUCCAUCACCUACUAAGGGGCUUUCCAUCCUCAGCUUUGAGCUUCUUUGCCUCUGACUGUGACAGGACCGAGAGACUGACGUAGCUAUCUCCAAAGUGUAAACUGGCCCCGAUGAUUGAAAUAUCAGUUAUAUCCAAGUGGUCAGUUCUGCUUCUCCUCCAGCGUCUUCAUGUCUUCAGCUGUUCAUUUAAGUUUUGAUGAAGUGGUGGGAAGUUAGAAGGUCAGCGAGAAAUUGGGCUCGCCGGUAGAUCUCAGCCCUUUGAUGUCCGUCCUGCUCUUCCUCUAGGGCCCGCAGAGGUUCUUCUUAGAGUCGGAUGGUGGGAAGCACACCAGUGAGGAGCAAGGACCUGGCCGGGAGCAGGUGGCCACCACAUUCCCAGGGCCGCACAGCCUCCCGUCCCCUAGGACUCCACUUCUGUGACUGCAGAGCGAGUACCAGACCUCUGGAAGAGAGAAAGAGAGGACAACGUGGGAGGCCACCCAACGGGAGGCUAGAGGGGCCUUUGCUGGAGAGGUGAGGAAGGGCAGAAGCCUUACGGGCUGGACAGGAGCGUCACGUGCCUCGACCGGCAGACCAGUGAGAAGGGGCGGAGCCGGAAGAGCAAGGAAAGGGCAUCGGCAAAGCAGGUGGUUGGAUCAGCUGACAGAACAGUGGGCUGGCCCAGAGGAGGCCAGAAGGUGGACAGCUGCACCCGCGUGCUAAGGAGGGCUCUGUGCAGAAGCCAGUGGAUGAAGUUUCCAGGAAGAUGUGGGGACAGGAGGAGCAUGCUCAGCUGUCCCCUUCUUCCGGCCUAGAGCACGGAGAAGACUCCAGAGAGGAGCAGGCAGUCAUUGUUCCCAGUGAAGAAAGUGGGUUCCACCGCAAGCCUAGAUCCUGACAUCCCUGAAUGCAGCUCCAGCCCCGGGGCCAGGCACCUCCCCUGCUCCUCACCCAGGAAAACUAGAACCACUGAUUGGUUUCGGCUCUGCUCCAGGCUACUUCUCCCAGCCAAACAUAGCCCCUAUCCAUAGGCGAGGUGACCUGGCGCUUGAGUCUCUCAGAGUCACUUAUCUGCUUGACCUAGAGCUCCACGCAGCAACUGUCCCUUGACAGAGCCAGGCCCUCCUCCGGGGGCCUGAAAAGCACUUUGUAGAAAUGGAGUUUCUGUUUGUCUGGGGGUUUUGCCUUGCUGAAAGCAAGCUGACCUCCGUGCACCAUGUAUGACAUGAUUAGCAGGAAGCGGCCCAGCUGGUUUUAUUGGUUUUCCUUGGGCUUUGGUCUUAGAAGGUUUCUUGCUGAGUUGAUUUCACCCUGAUAACUCCCUUUACACUCCACUUCCUAAUCCAAAAGGGCCCACAUUGGGGGUAGAGAAACAGAGAGCAAUCCUUUCCCAGCCCUCUCCUGGGGCUCCUUAGCUCUUGACUGCACUGCUGGGCUGGCUUAGCAAAAGCAAUUCGAUCUCCAGAGUUUCCUGGCCACCUUCCCUCUCUGUUGGCCUGUCGGAGAGCUCCAGCCGGUGAGUCUGUGGCCACAGGGCGUCUGAUCUCGAGGAUAGUGCCGCGCCCUUUGGUCUUGGUCUGCUGUGUGCUGUGCUCAUGAUGCUUACGUUCUGCUCCGGCCCUGAGAGCUGACAUGGCUUUGGAAAGUGAGAUUCCAGCCCACACCCAGGUGAAACUCUCCUAGCCUUUGACCUACACAGAUCUCCUCAGCCAGCGCAGGGCUUUGUACACUGGAUUCCAAGGGCCACCAUGCCAAACCUUGAUUGAAAAGAAAUGUUUGUUGCAGUGUAGCCACUCCCAGCUGAGCGGAAUGGAGAUGUAAACAGGAAGUCAGCAAAAGCAGGGCUGCUCUGCUUAGGGGGAACAGGGUGGGGAUUAUGAGAGCAGAGCGAUGCUGUUGAAAACACCUCUGGAUCAGCUGUACCCUCUCCCUAGGGGAUCCCAAGGCAACUCCUCCAAGGGAACUUGGGAUUCAGGGAACAGUUCGAAAACCACUCCACAGUUGUGUCGGCUUCAUUGGCUUUGCAAUCUGGCCUGGGACUGGCGGAGCUCUGCUCUGGGUGGGUCUGGGUGGGUCGCAGAGGUGUGGCCCCUUGUCCCCUUCCUCUGGGGCACUGUUCCCUGUUCCAUUUCCAGCUUUGCCUCUUCUGGAUCCUACACCUGUGCCUGCAGGAGCACGUGACCAGUGUCAUCCCUAGAGCUGUCCGCACCUUGGGGGUGCAGGGCACUGUUGUAGUCGUGUCCAGAGGUCAGCUUGACUUGCUCAGAUUCUUAAGGUGUCUGUUUCAUUUAAAUCAGGUCAUGUGCUUGCAUAUGUGUACUUUUUAAGUGCAGGAAUCAACCAAGAGAAUGGUGCCACAUAAAAAAGAAACACGUGCAGGGCUCCGUGGCUGCCUGUGUAGAUGCACUGUUAUGUCUGUGUAUGUGGGAAUCGUGCUUAGGGACGAGGCCGGCCUGAGGGUGUGAUGAUUUCUGGUGUCCGGGCAGCCAGGCUCCUCUGUCCUGAGGCAGUUGAUCAGAUGCAAAGACUCAGCCCGGCCCUUCAGAAAGAGGAAAUGAGAAAUGUUACAGCUGAAAGGGCCAGAGCUGAGCUGACCAUGAGUGCACACAUGAAGUAUGCUGUCAUAUCCACUGCCCAGAUUGAAAGAGACACAGGUCUGUGUGGACCAUGUGGCUUUAAACACCUUGGCCUGUUUGCUUUGACUAUGACAGCACUGCCCACCGAGGGCCACUUUCCUGUCUAAAUAGGAGAGCUAGAGACAAGGCUAAUGCGUUCAUAGGGCUCUCUGUAUUAAAAUUAAAUACAGAAAACAGCAUUUCAGGUGCUGUUGACAAUUAAUUAUUGCUUCGUCUCCUUGACUUCUCUAUGUUUCUAAAUCCCUGAUGCCAACAUAAAGGCAGGGGAAGUAGGAAGAGAGCACCAACAUUUAUUGACUGUCCUGUUCUAUUAGUUUUUAACCUAGUGUUGUGGCUUGUAUCUAGAUGUCCCCCACAAAGCCUCAUGUGCUCAUAGAUGGGGCUUCUUGGAGGCGGUUGGAUCUAGGGUUUGUGAAUAUGGAUAAGGGUAUGUGACAACUAAAUCAGUCCCCUGAUUGGUUUAGCAUUGUUCUGAGUGUGGAUAAUGAGAAACCUCACUGUGGCGGGGGGGGCGGGGGGGGCACCAACCAAUAGGCUUGUAGCCUGGGUGGGAUAAUAGUCCAGAAGGCUCACCACUUCCUGCUUCCUGCCUGCCAUGCCAUGGACUGUUUCUCCUCUGUGAUGCCCCUCUGCGGUGCCCCUCUGUGAUGCCACCCAGCCGACUAUGGAGUGAAACCUCUACCAGCUGCGAGCCGCAAUGGACCUUUCCUCCUUUAACUUAUGUGAAGCCGUUCAGAGAGGCAGAGAGACUCCUGCAUGGACACCUAGCAGAGCUGGGAUCUGCAGCAGUCGGCAUGACUUUGGGAUUCCAAUAGUGGUUGGUGUGGGAACAGAAGCUCCCAAGUAGAUGCAUCUUCCUUACUAAACAGCUCUACAAGGACGGAGACAUCUCUGCAGCUUUUGUCCCAGCUCGAGAACAGUGCCAGGUGUUUGCUGAAUGAAUGCAUGAACUGUGUCCGAUGGGUACCAAGUUCUGCAUCAGCAACUCUCCGUGUGUAACUGUUUCACCUUGUCAUCGACUCUGUGGCACGGGCAUUAUUAACCCUGGCUAGGAGGGACAGCAAGGAAGGAAAAGCGUGGCAGAAUCACUAAUUUCAGGUCUUUACUGAGCACCGUUGCACCUCUCUGGCCAUCACUUUGGAAAAGACCAGGACAGCCCCACGCCUGCCUGCCAACCACAGCGUCCUUUCUUCCAAGACUCAGCGAAGCCUGUGUCCCGGGAACUCUCCUGACUCGUCCUUGUCUAUGCUGCUCAGUCUCACUCUGGUGGCUGCCCUGGGACUGUACCACAUCCCAUCAGAUUUGGGGCUCCCUUUUGGUUGGCAAUUCCAAAAACUGCUGCA
ensembl:lncRNA